rnacentral:rRNA from 1 species
CGGCGGACGGGUGAGUAACGCGUGGGUAACCUGCCUCAUACAGGGGGAUAACAGUUGGAAACGGCUGCUAAUACCGCAUAAGCGCACAGUACCGCAUGGUACGGUGUGAAAAACUCCGGUGGUAUGAGACGGACCCGCGUCUGAUUAGGUAGUUGGUGGGGUAACGGCCUACCAAGCCGAUGAUCAGUAGCCGACCUGAGAGGGUGACCGGCCACAUUGGGACUGAGACACGGCCCAA